ACGAACGCUGGCGGCGUGCUUAACACAUGCAAGUCGAACGGUGAAGCGCCUUCCUUUUUGGUGGGUGUGGAUGAGUGGCGAACGGGUGAGUAACACGUGAGUAACCUGCCCCCUUCUUCUGGAUAACCGCAUGAAAGUGUGGCUAAUACGGGAUAUUCUGGGUCUGUCGCAUGAUGGGUCUGGGAAAGAUAUUGUUUCGGUGGGGGAUGGGCUCGCGGCCUAUCAGCUUGUUGGUGGGGUGAUGGCCUACCAAGGCGGUGACGGGUAGCCGGCCUGAGAGGGUGGACGGUCACACUGGGACUGAGACACGGCCCAGACUCCUACGGGAGGCAGCAGUGGGGAAUAUUGCACAAUGGGCGCAAGCCUGAUGCAGCGACGCCGCGUGAGGGAUGGAGGCCUUCGGGUUGUGAACCUCUUUCGCCAGUGAAGCAGGCCUGCCUCGUUUGUGGGUGGGUUGACGGUAGCUGGACAAGAAGCGCCGGCUAACUACGUG
rnacentral:rRNA from 1 species